rnacentral:tRNA from 1 species
GCGGAUGUGGCGGAACAGGCAGACGCGCAGGGUUUAGGUCCCUGUGCCCCGAAGGGGGCGUGCGGGUUCGACUCCCGCCAUCCGCA